rnacentral:rRNA from 1 species
AAUAGAUACCCAGGUAGUCCACGCCGUAAACGAUGAGUGCUAAGUGUUGGGGGUUUCCGCCCCUCAGUGCUGCAGCUAACGCAUUAAGCACUCCGCCUGGGGAGUACGGUCGCAAGACUGAAACUCAAAGGAAUUGACGGGGGCCCGCACAAGCGGUGGAGCAUGUGGUUUAAUUCGAAGCAACGCGAAGAACCUUACCAGGUCUUGACAUCCCGGUGACCACUAUGGAGACAUAGUUUCCCCUUCGGGGGCAACGGUGACAGGUGGUGCAUGGUUGUCGUCAGCUCGUGUCGUGAGAUGUUGGGUUAAGUCCCGCAACGAGCGCAACCCUUAUUCUUAGUUGCCAUCAUUCCGUUGGGCACUCUAAGGAGACUGCCGGUGAUAAACCGGAGGAAGGUGGGGAUGACGUCAAAUCAUCAUGCCCCUUAUGACCUGGGCUACACACGUGCUACAAUGGACGGUACAAACGGUUGCCAACCCGCGAGGGGGAGCUAAUCCGAUAAAACCGUUCUCAGUUCGGAUUGUAGGCUGCAACUCGCCUACA